rnacentral:lncRNA from 1 species
UAACCCCAAAACCAAAACAACUACACCCAAUCGCCACCACUGAUAGCCAUCCCAAGUCGUUGCUGUAGAGAAAAAAGAAAUAGGGACCCCACUAACACAACCAUCGUCACAGACCCCAAGUCUUUUCUACCACAAACCGACCCACAACUAAUUCAUAAAAAUCAAUAGAGGAAUUCCCAGAAAGAUAUCAACAUAAUUCAACUAAUUGGGAAUUCCAUUUUGUGAACAAGAUUUUGAAAGGAAUUUUAUAGAAUUGAAAACAACAAUUAAUGACGCCUUUUCCAUUGUUCGAUCUGGCUCCACCACCACUGUUGCUAUCGCUCCUUGCGCUCCGUCGAACAAACAAUUGUGGGAAGAAAAAUGGCUUGCAAUUGAAAGCAGGAGGUCAACUGUUGCUGAUAGGUUGUCGGUAUUGGUAUCUGGGUUGCAACUUGUUGAAGCUACAUAUAUACACAAGUGAAUAUUGGAAAAAUGUCAUUAAAAUUCGACCUUCUCAUCACUGUAAUCUUGCUAAAUUACGUGGAUGAAAUCAAACCUAGCUUUCAUUUUCAUUAAUUGUAACCACUCACUCUCUUAUUCUCUUCAAAAGAAUCAACACCAUCCCCACCACCUCUGCCACCAUUCUUUUGGAGUUCAUAAGUUGUGGUGUCGAACUUUGAUGGAGAAAAAGAGAAUAAUGGAGAAAUAAGAGGUGAAUUGGAAUUAGAAGAGUAGCAACGAAAGUUGAGAGCAAGGGAAGGGGAGGAGGCGUCAAAUGGAGUGGAUAAUCUUUUCUUCUGGCCAAGAUUCAAUAACAUUCAAAGGUUCCAAAAUGGCUAAGCGAAACCGAGGUGUUCGGAUUUGAACUUGAAUUCGGGGGCUGGUGGUGUUGGCGUUGGGUGCAUAGUGGUUGCUGCCAAUGGUGCUGGUGGCAAUUGGGUGAGGAGGCUUUGAUUUUGGGAAAGAAGGAGAUGAGGGUGGG